rnacentral:lncRNA from 1 species
UGUGGAUGAGAUGAACUUUCCUUUCUGAUGAUGUUUGGAAUACAGAUGUUUCUCUGAUUUUGCUAUUAUCUAUUUUCUUGCAAUGUUUUUUGUUCUGGUUUUCUUUUCAUUUUCUUUAACAGUUACAAUGUUAUUUGUUUCUGAUUUAUACUGUAUUUUGUAUGGGUUUGUUUGUUUUCACUUUUCACUAUCAGUAGGUCUCAUAAUUGGAUCAAAAUGUUACAUUACUUCCUUUUAAUCAAUGGUGAGAUUUAUUGAUCCGAUAGUAAAUACAAGCUUAUAAGUGAUGAAAUAUUUAUUUGACUUGUGUAACAUAGACUUGAUCUCAUAACGAAUAUUAGUUUGUGUUCUAAUGUCCACCUAACAUUAUAUAGCAUAAAAAAGUUGUAGAAUAACUUUAAAAUUUGUCAUAUCUUACUGUGUAUAGUAUUUACCUGAUAUGAAUCAAAAUAACUUAAUGGAGUGAGAUGGUUAGUUCAACUGAUUGUAGUUGAGCUAAAGGCGA